GUGUUAUCAUCUUGGCAACACAUAUAUAAAAAGCUGGGAUGACACAGAGAUUAGCACGGCUCCUGUGCAAUGAUGGCAUGCAAACUCAUGAGGUGUUCUGUGUAUGU
ensembl:snRNA U6 U6 spliceosomal RNA